rnacentral:rRNA from 1 species
GAGGAAUAUUGGUCAAUGGGCGCAAGCCUGAACCAGCCAUCCCGCGUGAAGGAAGAAUGCGCUACGCGUUGCAAACUUCUUUUCCAGGGGGAGAAUUUUCCUGUCGAGACAGGGAUUGACGGUACCCUGGGAAUAAGCAUCGGCUAACUCCGUGCCAGCAGCCGCGGUAAUACGGAGGAUGCGAGCGUUAUCCGGAUUUAUUGGGUUUAAAGGGUGCGUAGGCGGAUUGAUAAGUCAGUGGUGAAAUUCUGCAGCUUAACUGUAGACUUGCCGUUGAUACUGUUAGUCUUGAGUGUGGUCAAGGCAGGCGGAAUGUGUAAUGUAGCGGUGAAAUGCUUAGAUAUUACACAGAACACCGAUUGCGAAGGCAGCUUGCUGGGUCAUUACUGACGCUGAUGCACGAAAGCGUGGGGAUCAAACAG